GCCCAGCCUUUGCUUGCAGCCAAAACAGGAAAGAGAAUGAAGGAGACUAGAAAUACCAUAAAGACAAACUUGGAGCUAGUGCCGACCAAACCAAUUCCCUGCUUCAGAAAUGGAACGGUGCUGAACUGUCAGCUGAAGAAGGCUGCACAGCUUGAAAGAGGAAGCGUCAAAGGAAGCUUGGUGGAGAGGAGAGUGUGAAUAGGGAAGUGCCAACAGGGACACGUGCAGGGGGUGGGAAGGCAGGCAGGACGCCCAGUGAGAGUGACAGAGGCCAGCAGAGCAUGAGUGUGCAAGGAAACACGGAACGAGAGGCUGCGUGGGUGACAGAGUGUGCCGGGGUGACAGGCGGAUACGGCACAUGACGCAGAGUGGAAGACAACCACAGGUGAAGUGUAAACAAAGACCUGCAGGAAGUAAAGGGGCUACAAGGGAUCCAUGGAAAGAGCAUUAUCAGAAGGGGGGCCGGGGCAGUGCGCGCAGUGAGGAGAGCAGGUGUGUGUGAGGUUGAAACAAAACGUUCAAAGCCCCCUCGGAAGCCCAUCCACAGGUGUGUGACUGUGAACCGCAUCGUAAUCUCCUAGAAAGCAAGAACAUCAGGCUUACAUUUUCCACUUGCCUCUCAGGGCUCAGAGCUCUGCAGUAUAUACAUACUUUUCAGCCAGGGGCAAUUUGCCCCCCUGCCGCGGAGACAUUUGGCAAUGUCUGGAGACACUUUUGGAGUCACAAAUCAGGGGAGAGAUGCUGCUGGUACAUAGUAGUUGAGGAAACUGGGCCCUGAGACAUUAACUUGCCCAAAAGAUCACAGUGGGCAACAUUCUAGAGCACAAUGGAAGCCGACAGCAAUGUCGGUGAAGACGGAAAACAGAACGUGGAGAGAGAUGUAGCUACUAGACCCCUGUGGCUUCAAUCCCCACCAGGAAUGUCGUUUAAGAGGAAGGUGAUCUAGCACAAAUUCACAUUUGCUUGAGGAAGAAUACAAAUGACAUAUCACACACCAAGCGUGUGCAAAGCACUCUACCUAAAGAUCAGCGCUAACAGAGGAAUAAGCAGAGGCCUCCAGGAGCAAAGAGUGAAAAGUCUGGCAAGGCUUCAAGUACGGGGGAAGUGGGUGGAGCUUUCACUGUAGAAUCUUUCCUGGAGAAAAAGCAAAGAGUGGGGCAACAAUAAAGGCAUUAAAAAUAACUGUCAAGUUGAAGAAAAAGUGAGUAGUGAUGUGGCU